rnacentral:rRNA from 1 species
UACAGAGGUGGCAAGCGUUGUUCGGAAUUACUGGGCGUAAAGGGCGCGUAGGCGGCCUUCUAAGUCAGACGUGAAAUCCCCAGGCUUAACUUGGGAACUGCGUCUGAUACUGGGAGGCUUGAAUGCGGGAGAGGGAUGUGGAAUUCCAGGUGUAGCGGUGAAAUGCGUAGAUAUCUGGAGGAACACCGGUGGCGAAGGCGGCCUGCUGGGCAGUUGCUGACACUGAGGCGCGACAGCGUGGGGAGCAAACAGG